rnacentral:rRNA from 1 species
CCUACGGGGGGCAGCAGUGAGGAAUAUUGGUCAAUGGUCGGGAGACUGAACCAGCCAAGCCGCGUGAGGGAUGAAGGUACAGAGUAUCGUAAACCUCUUUUGUCAGGGAACAAAGGCGGGGACGUGUCCCCGGAUGAGUGUACCUGAAGAAAAAGCAUCGGCUAACUCCGUGCCAGCAGCCGCGGUAAUACGGAGGAUGCGAGCGUUAUCCGGAUUUAUUGGGUUUAAAGGGUGCGCGGGCGGUCUGUUAAGUCAGCGGUCAAAGCCCGGGGCUCAACCCCGGCCCGCCGUUGACACUGGCAGUCUUGAGUUGGAGAGAAGUAUGCGGAAUGCGCGGUGUAGCGGUGAAAUGCAUAGAUAGCGCGCAGAACUCCGAGUGCGAAGGCAGCAUGCCGGCUCCACACUGACGCUGAGGCACGAAAGCGUGGGUAUCGAACAGGAUUAGAUACCCUUGUAGUC